rnacentral:misc_RNA from 1 species
AUAAUAAAUUCUAAUCCAACAAACCACCCCCAAAAACUGAAAAAUAUAACACAAUGAAACACAGAAAAUAUAAAAACUUGCCAUAACCAACUUUAAAUAGGGCAUUCUACCAGUUCAACAAGGAAAUAGGAAACCAAAAGACAUCAGAACAAAAAGUCAUGGCAUAAAGCAGUCUGACACAAUUAAAAGCUCAAUAUAAUCCUACAUAGGUCUCAAACACAAUUUAAGAUCCAUCUAGCCCAUCAAAAGCGCAGCACUUAAUCAAACAAGCUAAAACCCAUAUCAUCAUCAGAUUCUUCUUUCUCCUCCACCUUCUCUUCCUUCUUCGGCUCAGCAGCAGCUGCUGCAGGGGCAGCUGCACCACCACCACCACCUGCCGACACUGCCACAGCCACACCACCACCACCAGAUGGAACAGAUGCAAAUUUCUCUCUUCCAGAAGCAAUCAACUCAGUUAUAUCCUUGCCUUUAACUUCAGCAAGCAAAAACUCAAUCCGCUCAUCUUCAGCCUCAGCACCAACUGAUCCAAGAAUAUGCUUGAUAUCCUUGCUUGACGGGCUAGAGUUACCACCAAGUAAAGCCAGGAGGUAGGCAGCAAUGACCUUCAUUGUAAUUAUUUUACAGGUCACCAAAAACUCCUACAUUUCAAUCAAGCCUACUACUCUGAUGAGGGUUGGAGGUCGGAGCCGCCGGGAGAGGAGGAUGGGAUCUCGGCUAGGGUUCUCCGACCUCCA